AUUGCUACUUCAGAUUUGUUAUUUCGAUUUUUGCAACCGUUUGGUUUCCACAGUCCAUGCUUCUUUAGCUUACAGGUACUUACAUUUUCUGUCACAAAUAAUUCAUUUUAAUUAGAUAUUGAUGGUGUAGUUUGAUUUAAAACUUGGUGGUGCUUGGACAAGUAAUAUCUAUAUUCACCUCCUCAUUCCCCCAUUCUUUCUAUUUCACACGACGACAACUUUUUUCUUUUUCUAUGUGGGGAUACAUAUUUAGUGUUAUCUUUUUCUAUCACUAAGCUCUCACAAUUUUCACAAUAUAUGUUACUGUUUUCAAGCAACGAGCAAGUAGAGUAGCAGCUCUCAAUGAAAGAUUGAUUGGAAUCAAAGUUGGUGACUUUUGCCAUGUUAAAGAAGGGCUUCUGCUUGGGAAGCUUUAUGGGAACCGAUUUACUAUAACACUUCAGUAUAGUUAUGCUUCAAUAUUUCAUUUGUCCAUUUCUUGUGGGGCUCCAGACAGUACAUGAAUACCAUUUUUCUUUCUUUGCUCUUGUUUAUUCUUUGAAGUAUGAUUGUAAAGCUUGCUGAUUAUAUGACAUGUUAUGUGAUGGGCUGAAACUGAAAUCUUUUCAGGGGAGUGUCAGGUACUUUGUAAUAUGCAGAUCUUUUUAUCUUGGUUAGGUGGAUAAGUUAACUUCACUCUUCUUGAAAUCCAGUCUAGGCCUUUCAAUUGUUGUUCUUCAUAAGGAUCUCUUUCAGAAGAGCUUUUACAGAAAUACCUGCAACCUUAUUUUGCUUCAGAGAAACUCACUAAUGCAUGUUCCUUUCUUCCUCUUCCAAUGUCUCAGUCAUAUGUGUAUAUGAUUCCCUGACAGUACAGUUAAUUCAUAAGUAUGUCAGCAUGUGGGAUAAAUAUGAGCUACAAUUUGAAAUUACUGUUAUGCUUGGGGCUUAUCUUAGUCGUGCACUUCAUGGCAUUUUAAUGACCAACAAAAAGCCCAUACUUGACAUGGUUGUGCAGUGUUAUCUGGUACCUCGUCAUGUAAAUCAAGCAAUUCAGCAUACAAUGCUAAGCCAUGGCAAACUCAUGAACUUGAUGGUAAGGGAAGAAAUAGGCUAAGAUGGGUACAAAGCAGACACAUGGUUUAUAACUAUUGUGCUGAUUCUAAGAGGUUUCCUCAAGGUUUUUCUGCUGAGUGCAAGAGUUCAAGAUUUUAGGAUAUGAGAGUGUGAAAUUUUUUAUUCUUUGUACCAAUAAAAGUUCUGUUUGGUUACUAAUUUUGUUGCUGUGUAACUGGUAUUCAAGUUUAUCCCGUUUUCUUUGAUAUUCUUACUUGAUGAAGUAGUGUAUGAGUAAUUAAUUUCUGACUAACUGUAAAAUUUUCUACAUUUGUACUUACAGGUAAGUAUUGCUUAGUCAACAACAGGUCGUGGAUUUUAAGCAAGUUGAUUCCCACGUCCACCAAUUCAAGGAUAUGGCAUCUAAGGGGAAGGGAAAAAUGAAAUCUAAGAAGAAAAAACAACUUGUUCCAACUUCCUCAACUAUGCCAAAUAUGAGUCAUCCUCUUCCUCAUCCUCCUCAGUCGACUUCAUUGCCAUCUACCAUAUUCACUAUCCCCCCUCCAUCUAAUAAUUCAGUUCAGUAUUAUUCUAUGCCUGCUAAAGGCAGUCAAAGUAACACCGUUUUUAACUUUGUACCCACACCUUCUAUACCAUUAUCUUCACCGGGCUUUCAUGGUAGUCAACAUGGUGGCUCACCAGUUGUUGCACCCUCGGUCUUUUAUGGUUGUCAACAUACUGACUCACCAGCUGCUGCACCCCCGGGCUUUCAUGAUAGUCAGCAUAUUGGCUCACCAGCUGCUGCACCCCCGAGCUUUCAUGGUAGUCAGCAUACUGGCUCACCAGCUGCUGCACCCCCGAGCUUUCAUGGUAGUCAGCAUGAUGGUGCGUCUUUUGUUGCUCCAUCAUCUUCCAAUCCAUCAUCAUCAUCCAUUCACAGCAUAUCUAGGUUGGAUAUUGGAGGCUCUCGCCCAGCUACAUCUGGUGCUGCUUCUGCACCAUCUCGUAGACGCAGGCAGAAUCUUGGAGGGGAUGUACAAUUUGAUAGUUAUAAUCGAUUGAUAAUCGUCCCCCACAAGAAUGGGUUUUUGCCAUCCUUUCAAGCUACACAUAUGGUUACAGAUUCUAUGAAGCCAUUUUAUCAUGAGCCGUGGACUUCUUGGAAAAAGAUACCGUACAGCAUCAGAGAGCAAAUGUGGAAUCAAUUUAGGACAAGGUGUACAUGGAAUCCUCAGCAUCAAAAUGCAAUAAAUAGUAUUUUUGAGAAGAAAGUUGGUAUAAGGAUUAAAGAUACUAUGUGCGCUUCUCGGAAUUCCGGUAAAAUGCCGGAUUGGUUAAGAAAAGAUGUUUGGGAUAAACUUCUUGAGAAAUGAAAUACCCCAGAAUGGAAGGCAAAGAGUGAACAAGCAAAGGCAAACCGUGCCUCUAAAAAAGGUGGCUUGUUGCACAUAGGAGGUUCGAUUACUUUUGAGGCCCAUAAACUAAGAAUGGAAAAGGAAAGAGGGCGAGAUGUGACUUACGUUGAUGUCUUCGAGGAGUUGCAUAAGAAAAAGAAAAAGGAUGGUACAAGAUAACACUGGGUGGAGACGCGUGUGUCAGACACAUGAAGAUUAUCAUAAAAGGUUGGAAGAAUGGCAAUAAACUCAGCCUCCUUCAACUCAACCAACACCUGAUGAUAUGGCUUCAUUGUGGACAGAGGCAGCGGGCGGAGCAAACAAAGGUAGAGUCUACGGACUAGGAGUACAUCGACCUACAGGUCAUCCAAACCCACUCUUAGACAAUUCUUCUCCUCAAAAUCAAGAACAGAUGGAAGAUGUGAGAAACAAAAUUCGUGGAUUGAAGCAACAAUUGGACUCCCAAAACGGAACAUUUGUUAAGAUGCAGAAAUUCAUGCGUAAACAUGGGUUUGAUUUAUCUGAUGAUGAGGAUGAACAAACUGAAUCUGAUGUGUAGUAGUUUAGUUGUGAUGUUUUGGUUGAUUGGUAAACUUGAUUGUGAGAGACAACUUUAUGUAUUGCUUUUAAACUUGAAUAUGGGCUGCUAUUUGGAUG